UAGUCCACGCCGUAAACGAUGGAUACUAGCUGUUCGAUCUUCGGAUUGAGUGGCUAAGCGAAAGUGAUAAGUAUCCCACCUGGGGAGUACGUUCGCAAGAAUGAAACUCAAAGGAAUUGACGGGGGCCCGCACAAGCGGUGGAGCAUGUGGUUUAAUUCGAUGAUACGCGAGGAACCUUACCAGGGCUUAAAUGCAUAUUGACAGGUGUGGAAACACGCUUUCCUUCGGGCAAUUUGCAAGGUGCUGCAUGGUUGUCGUCAGCUCGUGCCGUGAGGUGUCAGGUUAAGUCCUAUAACGAGCGCAACCCCUGUCGUUAGUUGCCAGCGAGUCAUGUCGGGAACUCUAACGAGACUGCCGGUGCAAACCGUGAGGAGGUGGGGAUGACGUCAAAUCAUCACGGGCCCUUACGUCCUGGGGCUACACACGUGCUACAAUGGCCGGUACAGAGGGGCAGCCACACCGCGAGGGUGGGAGCGAAUCCUUAAAACCGGGUCU
rnacentral:rRNA from 1 species